AGCUCGCUAGCUGCUGGAAGCGGUAAAGAAUGGUAACAUUUGCUCCACCCUUAAAUGAGCAUCAGAUUCCUAAUCUGGGGGUCGCGCGUUCGAAUCGCGCCGGGAUCACCA
rnacentral:tRNA from 1 species